rnacentral:rRNA from 1 species
CCUACGGGAGGCAGCAGUGAGGAAUAUUGGUCAAUGGACGAGAGUCUGAACCAGCCAAGUAGCGUGAAGGAUGACUGCCCUAUGGGUUGUAAACUUCUUUUAUAUGGGAAUAAAAUGUUCCACGUGUGGGAUUUUGUAUGUACCAUAUGAAUAAGGAUCGGCUAACUCCGUGCCAGCUGCCGCGGUAAUACGGAGGAUCCGGGAGUUAUCCGGAUUUAUUGGGUUUAAAGGGAGCGUAGGUGGAUUGUUAAGUCAGUUGGGAAAGUUUGCGGCUCAACCGUAAAAUUGCAGUUGAAACUGGCAGUCUUGAGUACAGUAGAGGUGGGCGGAAUGCGUGGUGUAGCGGUGAAAUGCUUAGAUAUCACGAAGAACUCCGAUUGCGAAGGCAGCUCACUGGACUGCAACUGACACUGAGGCUCGAAAGUGUGGGUAUCAAACAGGAUUAGAUACCCCAGUAGUC